rnacentral:rRNA from 1 species
ACGAACGUUGGCGGCGUGCUUAAUACAUGCAAGUCGCGCGAGAAACGGGGGGCAACUCCCGGAGUAAAGCGGCGAAAGGGUGAGUAAUACGUGGACAAUCUACCCUCGAGAUCGGGAUAACCCAGGGAAACUUGGACUAAUACCGGAUAUUAUUCCGGGGACGCAUGUUCCUGGAAUGAAAGCGCCCGUAAGGGACCGCACUCGUGGAGGGGUUCACGGCCUAUCAGCUUGUUGGCGGGGUAACGGCCCACCAAGGCGAUGACGGGUAGCCGGACUGAGAGGUCGAACGGCCACAUGGGCACUGAGACACGGGCCCAACACCUACGGGUGGCAGCAGUAGGGAAUAUUGCGCAAUGGGCGAAAGCCUGACGCAGCGACGCCGCGUGGGGGAUGAAGGUCUUCGGAUUGUAAACCCCUUUUCUGUGGGAAGAACAUUGACGGUACCACAGGAAUAAGCACCGGCUAACUCCGU